rnacentral:rRNA from 1 species
UACGUAGGGUGCGAGCGUUAAUCGGAAUUACUGGGCGUAAAGCGUGCGCAGGCGGUUUUGUAAGCCAGAUGUGAAAUCCCCGGGCUUAACCUGGGAACUGCAUUUGUGACUGCAUGGCUGGAGUGCGGCAGAGGGGGAUGGAAUUCCGCGUGUAGCAGUGAAAUGCGUAGAGAUGCGGAGGAACACCGAUGGCGAAGGCAGCCCCCUGGGUCGACACUGACGCUCAGGCACGAAAGCGUGGGGAGCAACAGG